UACGUAGGGUGCGAGCGUUAAUCGGAAUUACUGGGCGUAAAGCGUGCGCAGGUGGUUUGUUAAGUCAGAUGUGAAAGCCCCGAGCUUAACUUGGGAACUGCGUUUGAAACUGGCAAGCUAGAGUCUGUCAGAGGGGAGUAGAAUUCCACGUGUAGCAGUGAAAUGCGUAGAGAUGUGGAGGAAUACCAAUGGCGAAGGCAGCCCCCUGGGAUAAGACUGACGCUCAUGCACGAAAGCGUGGGGGAGCAAACAGGAUUAGAUACCCUGGUAGUCCACGCCCUAAACGAUGUCAACUGGUUGUUGGGCAACUUGAUUGUUCAGUAACGAAGCUAACGCGAGAAGUUGACCGCCUGGGGAGUACGGUCGCAAGAUUAAAACUCA
rnacentral:rRNA from 1 species